GGAAACGCAACAUUCUUUAAAAAUAUUUUUUUUCAUUUAUAAGGUUGUUUCCCCUUAGAGAAAAGAGUUGUGACAGAAAUGCACAGGAACUGUUACCACAUGAAAUAAAGAACAUUUUGGAUUGUAAGGAGGCGCGAGAUAGAUUUUUACUAUCAUACAAGAUGAUGCUAGACUUCUAUGGAAUGAAACUUGAAAAUGAAAGAGAUGGUACAAUAACAAUUUCAGAUAAUCGGGAAAUAUUUGAGAAUCCCAUCGGAUCAAAGCAAAAUCAAGAGAGAUUAACAAGAAUUCUUAAAUGUCUUGGUGAAUUAGGAUUCGAGCAUUUAAAAAAGAAUUUAGUAACAUUUAUAAUGAAACAUGAAAUAUUUGGGAAGAAAUAUAUUGAAAAUGAAGAUGUAUUACAUCGCUGGAUUGCAAUUUUGAAAACACCUGACGAUAGAAUGGAAGCGCGAGAAUUAUAUAAAUAUCUAACUAGACAUCUGUCUGAAUCUACUCCAUCAAACUGAGAGAUAGCUGUUAUAAGUUUGGUACUGAAAGAGGAUUCGGAGGAUAAAAUGAAAAAUAACUUGUUUACUGGUCUGUUAUUGUUAUAGAUUGUUUGUUUUAUAUACAUUAAAUACAAAGGGAUUGUUCGAAUGUUAUUCGUCUAAAGCAGUAAAUGAAAAAUUUAUGUUUGCCCUUUCUUGUACGCGAAUGAUGUGUCAUGUUUAGAGGACUGGAUCAAGUUACAUGUCUUUAUUGUAAUAUUGUCAUUAUAGUUUUGAAAUUUGUUUCGUCUGAUUGAACCCAUGUUCAAAAUAGUAAAAUUUAAUGUCAUGAUUUCUGAGUAAAUGUAUGUUAUACAUUUAUUGACC